rnacentral:rRNA from 1 species
UUUCCAGACUCCUACGGGAGGCAGCAGUGAGGAAUAUUGGUCAAUGGCCGAGAGGCUGAACCAGCCAAGUCGCGUGAGGGAUGACGGCCCUACGGGUUGUAAACCUCUUUUGUCGGGGAGCAAAGAGAGUCACGUGUGGCUCAUUGAGAGUACCCGAAGAAAAAGCAUCGGCUAACUCCGUGCCAGCAGCCGCGGUAAUACGGAGGAUGCGAGCGUUAUCCGGAUUUAUUGGGUUUAAGGGUGCGCAGGCGGAGGUGCAAGUCAGUGGUCAAAUUGCGGGGCUCAACCCCGUACUGCCGUUGAAACUGCAUCCCUUGAGUGCGCGAGAAGUAUGCGGAAUGCGUGGUGUAGCGGUGAAAUGCAUAGAUAUCACGAAGAACCCCGAUUGCGAAGGCAGCCUGCCGCAGCGUUACUGACGCUGAAGCUCGAAAGCGCGGGUAUCGAACAGGAUUAGAUACCCCAGUA